UACGUAGGGUGCGAGCGUUGUCCGGAAUUAUUGGGCGUAAAGAGCUUGUAGGCGGUUUGUCGCGUCUGCCCGUGAAAAUCCGGGGCUCAACCCCGGACUUGCGGUGGGUACGGGCAGACUAGAGUGUGGUAGGGGAGACUGGAAUUCCUGGUGUAGCGGUGGAAUGCGCAGAUAUCAGGAGGAACACCGGUGGCGAAGGCGGGUCUCUGGGCAGUAACUGACGCUGAGGAGCGAAAGCGUGGGGAGCGAACAGG
rnacentral:rRNA from 1 species